ACGGAAGGCAGCAGUAGGGAAUAUUGGACAAUGGGGGCAACCCUGAUCCAGCGACGCCGCGUGAGUGAAGAAAUAUUUCGGUAUGUAAAGCUCUAUCAGCAGGGAAGAAAAUGACGGUACCUGACUAAGGAGCACCGGCUAAAUACGUGCCAGCAGCCGCGGUAAUACGUAUGGUGCAAGCGUUAUUCGGAUUUACUGGGUGUAAAGGGAGCGUAGACGGCAUAGCAAGUCUGAAGUGAAAUGCGGGGGCUCAACCCCUGAACUGCUUUGGAAACUGUUAAGCUAGAGUGUCGGAGAGGUAAGUGGAAUUCCUAGUGUAGCGGUGAAAUGCGUAGAUAUUAGGAGGAACACCAGUGGCGAAGGCGGCUUACUGGACGAUAACUGACGUUGAGGCUCGAAAGCGUGGGGAGCAAACAGGAUUAGAUACCCUGGUA
rnacentral:rRNA from 1 species